GAAAUCUUGACAAUGGACGUUUGGUCGACGCAAUAUUCUCACUCAAUUUGUCAGGUCUAGAGUGAAUGUAUUAGACACGGUAUAGAGAAAAGUAUUGGGAUUGAAGGACAGAAACUUCAAUAACCAACAUCAGAACUGAAGAUGAAGAAGUUAUGUUUUAGAUCGUUGCCACUUGCAAUGGGAAAAAAAAAAAAAAAUUAGCUCUUCCAUCAACAAUUGACAGCGAAUCUUAUUGGGAACAUCCAUUAGAGAGUAGGGCGAAUACUUCUAUCGGUGAUGAGGCUGGAAGUAGUCCCCAAUGUUCCAAGGACUUGUCUUCCAAGUCCAGGAAGCAAAUAGAUGAUAGUGAAAGGUCCAGCACCAGUCCUAAACUUAGAAGGACCCGAUCAUUAUCUUCCGCUGCAUUUAGAGACCAAGUAGAUCUCCUGGUAAUGCUAGCAGUGGCUCCAGACGGCAACAUGACCAGUCAUCUUGUCCAUCUCGAGAGAUGAAAUUCAAGGUAAAGCAUGCGCAGAUGGAAAUGCCAAAUGAUUACCAUACCUCGGGACCUGUUAGGCCAUGCUCCAGAACUUGCUAUGAUUCUUCAGGAAAUUCUUCCACUAGCUCCAGUAAUGUUUCAAAUAGAGUCUUAGCCCGCUACAUUGAUGGUGAACAACAUCGGGAAAUAAAUGGAUCCAUGAAUAAGUAUUCUCAGAGAAGUAACGGGUGGCGACCUCCUCGAGAACAGUGUCUGCCACCUUCUGCAACAACAGCUAGUAUUGCAGAUAAACCCAGAUUCUAUUCAUCAAGAGAAGCUAAAUGUUCUUUUCCUCGUUUCUUGUCUGAAGAAGUGGGAGAAUAUGGAUUUGGGAAUGACUCACCUCGAAGUAUUGGAAAGACUGUUGUUAAUGUUAGGAUUAGAUUUGAUUUAAUCAUAAUAGAUUUAGUCAUAUCGGAUUUGAUUAUGUAACGCUAUAUAAUAGCGAAUUUCAUUCUUCAAUAGAAUGAGAGAUUUCUCCUUAUUCUUAUGAUCUUUCCCUUUUUCUUUGUUUGUUCCUAACAUUUAAUAUCAGAGUCAUGCCCUAAACUAGUUAAAACUAGAAGCAGCG